AGACCGGAAAAGAUUAGAGGCAGAGGUUAAAGCUUUGCAUGCGAAAAAAGCGAGCCUGCCUGUUUCCCAAGCCACCAUGAAUCACCGGGACAUUGCAAGACAUCAGGCUUCAUCAUCGGUAUUUUCGUGGCAACAGGACAAAACCCCAAGUCGCCUUUCAUCUUGUUCUCUGAGAACCCCACUACGGAGAGAUGUCUCUGCUGCUCACUUUUUGGGGGAAGAAGUGACCCCUAACAAAUCAAGUGUUCAGAUAGGGAGAGGAGACUGCAGUGGCCUCCCUGACGAUCCUCAUUGCUCUCAGCCUUUGCAUCAGGCCAAAGCCCAGAAUCAAGAACUAAAAAGCAAGAUGAAUGAGUUAGAACUACGCCUGCGAGGACAAGAAAAGGAAAUGAAAGACCAAGUGAAUAAAUUCCAAGAGUUACAGCUACAACUGGAGAAAACAAAAGUGGACUUAAUUGAAAAAGAGAAAAUUUUGAAUAAAACCAGAGAUGAAGUAGUGAGAACCACAGCCCAGUAUGAGCAAGCAGCAGCCAAGUGUACUGCCUUGGAACAAAAGCUGAAGAAUUUGACGGAGGAGUUGAGUUGUCAUCGACAGAACGCAGAGAGUGCUAAACGUUCUCUGGAACAGAGAGUUAAGGAGAAAGAAAAGGAACUUCGAGAGGAGCUGUCCCGACAACAUCAAUCUUUCCAAGCUCUGGACCAUGAGUACACUCAGAUGAAAACCAGACUUACCCAGGAGUUACAGCAAGCCAAGCAUUCGCUCAGAAACCAAAGACCAGCAGUACCAAGACUUGCGUAUGGAGUACGAGACAAUGAGGGAUUCGCUCCAGGCCAGAGGAUCUUCUCUGGUGACGGAUGAGAAGAAUCAGAGAAGCUCUUCAGCUUUUGAAGAGCAGCCUGCAGUGAGUCAUUCCUUUGCAAACCUAGUGGGGGAAAAAGGAAGCAUAUAUUCAGAAAGGAGUGACAGCUCUGUAGAUAGGGGCCAAAGUCCAGAAAAUGUAGCUGUCUUACAAAGUAGAGUCACUUUACUUGAAAGUUCCUUGGAGUCUCAAAACCAGAUGAACUCAGAUUUGCAAAAGCAGUGUGAAGAGUUGCUACAAAUCAAAGGGGAAAUUGAGGAAAACCUCAUUAAAGCAGACCAGAUUCAUCAAAACUUUGUGGCUGAAACAAAUCAACGUAUUGGUAAAUUGCAGGAAGAUGCUGCAGUUCAUCAGAAUAUUGUUGCUGAAACUCUAGCAACUCUUGAGAGUAGGGAAAAAGAGUUACAGCUUUUGAAAGAACAAUUAGAAGCCCAGCAAACAGAGGUUCAAAAGUUAGAGAAGAAUAACUGUCUUCUUGAAGGUGCUCUGAAGGAGCUACAGCUUUUAACUGACACUCUGAGCUCCGAGAAGAAAGAAAUGAAUUCUAUCAUCUCAUUAAGGAAAAAAGACAUUGAA
rnacentral:lncRNA from 1 species